GUAAGUUAUAGCUGUACAGAACUUUAAUGCGAUUUGACUAUUGAGGAUAAAUAUAUUAAAACGUGUACAAGAAGAAGGAUGGGAAGAUUUUUGAUUGCAGCAGUCAUACUAGUUGUAUAUGCUUCAACUACGUACGGUUACCGUUAUGUUGGAUGUUAUGAAGACAAUAGCGAGAGAAUAUUGGGAAGAAAUUAUUCUUCAGAUGGCAGCAUGACGGUGGAAAAAUGAAUACAAACUUGCAGUUACGAGGGCGCCAACUUCUUUGGUGUUCAGUAUGCGCACCAAUGUUUCUGCGGUGCACGACUAAAAAGAGGUCACAGAAGAAUUGCUGACAGUGCAUGUUCUACUAACUGUGCAGGAGAUUCAAGCCAAAAGUGCGGUGGAACAUGGAAGAUAUCCUUGUACACAACAAAUAACUAUAUUGGAUGUUUCGUUGACGAUCAUGGAAGAAUUCUUGAAGGUCCAAGCACCGGCAGUAGCCAAAUGACGACUAAGACCUGCCUCAAGUUCUGCAAGGACGCUGGGAAAAGAUUUGCUUUAACACAGUACUCCAGGCAAUGUUUUUGUGGAAAUAACAUCAGCGACUACAUACAGAGAGAUGACAGCGAAUGCAGUUAUAGCUGUACUGGUGCAAACACUGAGAAAUGUGGAGGCUUUUGGAGGGGGUCAUUGUAUGUUGUAUAAUGAAACGACCAAGAAGAAGCGAGUACCGGAACAAAUGUGCCUUCAGCUAUAAAACUGAAUAUCUAGAAAUAAAAAAACGCUUAAAACAUAAUCUAUGAAAAUAUCUGACUGAAUCCUACGUUUUGAUUUUUAUGCAAACGAAAUAUGUAACAAAUGAUUUUUCUUGUAACGGUAUCAAACAGAUUUUAACUUCUUGUAUUCUCAUAAUUUUUACAAAAUGUUUCAAUAAUAUUUCAAUAUCAUAAUUCAAUUCAGGAAAUGUUUUCAAGUCAUAAUCACUGUUAAUAACUGUUCGUUGCUAAACAUUUCUUCCGCGUUAAAAAGUACUCGUAAAGAUUAAACUGAUAUUUAUAACCUCUUUGUUUGUCUUUUCGGCAACAUAAACGGUGAAUAUGUUUGAUAAAUGUUUCAGAAAAGGCAAACUGUAGUAUAGAGACCUUUAGUGGGCAAGAUUGCAUUAAUCUAUUUUCAAUUCAAAUUUAAGUUACAUCCUAUCGUAUGUACAGAACGUUUACAAUAUUUCCUGAAAUAUACACCUCGCAAAGACAUCCUCUAUUAUCAAAAGAUGAGUCUAGUAGUCUAUAAACAACAUUAAACGGUUUCAAAAAGAAUGUAAUGCAUAUCAUACCCGGACCCUAAUGGCUGGGAAAUUACAUAGUGUAGGGGAAGAGCUGCUGACUUCUUACCGUAGAUCACGGGUUCGUGUACGGAUGAGAAGGGAAGUCUGGAAAGCGGUCAUCCAUAGUAAGUAACAAUACUGCCAGAUCAAUCGCAGAAGUCGAGGUACAUACUAGGUUGAUGUUAGCUUGAAAAUAAGAACACUACCUCUCAAAAACCCAGUUGUCAAAAAUAAAUACAACUGAAAUCUUGAAAUAACAGAGUAGAUAUUUUAACUGUUCUUUUCCGAAUAUAGAAACCUAGAUCCGUUUAACCAACAUUUCAAAAAUAGUGAACGGGAGAAGUUAGUUCAUAAUACCAUUUAAUUACCAGGAGAAUUUUCAUGCUGUACAUACUAAACUUAUUAAAACUGACAACUGUUGCAGUAAUGACUGAAAAUCCGUGCUACAUAAUAUAGUAUGUGUAUAUGUUGACCACUUUCUUUUUUGAGCCGUGAUUAAUUUAUGCAGGAGAGUUGAUUCGCCAAAAUAAGUAGAAACACAUAUGUAAUACAUAGUAAAGCGGUAUAAGUUAUCGAUAAAGGCACAAAGGAUAUGGCGUUGCCUUAACAAACUUGCUUUUUGAUGUUUGAAGUUCACAUUUUCAAAUGUGUUUAAUCGUUUGUUUUAAUAAACAUUGCUCGAGAAAAUUGUGCUGUUGAAUCGAGUAGUUAAUUAUAUGUUAGCUAGUCAAAAAUACUUGCCUGUUAGUCUUACUUACCGUGUAAUGGCUUCAAUACGUUACAAAUAUAGUAAUAAUGCUCGCAAAAUCAUCAAAAAUAUUCAUUCAGUUUGCGUCGAGGAGAAGACAAAUAAUGGAUAAUCAUUGAAGAUCCCAAUGACUCGCAAUAUAGAGCGUGUUUCCACACUUACCGGUAUAAGCCGUGCGGCAGUGAAACAAUAGGGAAAAAAAUAAGUCAAACAAUCAUAUUAAAAUAUAUAGAAUGUUUUUUUUUUUUAAUAAAGAUUCUUCCAAGAUUCAUGACUAAAAUAAAAUAAAAUAAAAAUAAUGUAAUAAUAGAGAAAAAAUACGGCGUAAUCUUGGCUUGAAC